UCGGCGCACAGUGGAAAUACGUAUCAGCGGUCAAAAGUCAAGUUUUCGGCGUUUUAAAAAAAGUCAAAUCAUUUGUCCAAUUGAAACAGAAUGGUGGAAUCGUGGACGCCAAAAGACGACCUUUUUAAAAGCGAUUAUGUCCGAAACAUUAAUCGUCGAGUCGAACCAGCAAAAAUGAGCACACGGAAAAGGGGACAAACGAUUCACAACGAAGCUAGAAACAUAGUGAUAAGGAUUAUUAAAAAAUGCGACGAAGACUGCACUUCUCUAUCCGCUACAACGAGCCACUACACAUGCAACAGACUACGUUGGCGUUUCCGAACGGACAAUCGCCAGAAUACGAGAUGAAGGCGCUGUAUGGAGAGAAGAACUGUUAUCAUCGCCGGACAGAAAACAGCCGCGAUGCACGGACCAGACAUUUUAUUGUAUCGACGAGUGCAAAAAAGUCAUAAGAGACUUAAUCUAUGAAUUUUACGUGGAGAAAAAAAUUGUUCCAACUGGUCCAAAAUUGUUGACCACGUUACAGGAGAGAAUACACUUUCCAUGGACGAUGCACGCCCUUCGCUAGCUUUUGAAAAGCAUGGGAUACAAAUGCAAGAAGAGAAGCAACACAGUCUCAAGCAGAUCUUGAUUGAAACGCCGAAUAUCGUGAACAAGCGAAACAAAUAUCUGGAAGCUUUGAAUGAUUAUAAAACACAAGGAAAGAACAUUAUAUAUUUGGACGAAACAUGGGUGGACACUUCUUUGAGUUUUGGAAAAUGCUGGUCGCGAACGAGAAAGGCACGGCGGGCGUUUCUAAGAGUUCGUAUGCUUUCGAACGUUUGACAGAGUAGUCCUCGCAGGUGAAAGAAGCGGACUGGUGAAUGGAGCAGAUCUGAUAUUCGAAUACAGGUCGA